GAGGGUAGAGCUCAGAGGUAGAGUGCAUGUCUAGCAUGCGUGAGGUCCUGGGUUCAAUUCCCAGUACCUCUA
rnacentral:tRNA from 1 species